rnacentral:rRNA from 1 species
UACAGAGGUGGCAAGCGUUGUUCGGAAUUACUGGGCGUAAAGGGCGCGUAGGCGGCCAUCUAAGUCAGACGUGAAAUCCCCCGGCUUAACCUGGGAACUGCGUCUGAUACUGGAAGGCUUGAGUAUGGGAGAGGGAUGUAGAAUUCCAGGUGUAGCGGUGAAAUGCGUAGAUAUCUGGAGGAAUACCGGUGGCGAAGGCGGCUUCCUGGCCUGUUCUUGACGCUGAGGCGCGAAAGCUAGGGGAGCAAACGGG